rnacentral:rRNA from 1 species
UACGAAGGGGGCUAGCGUUGCUCGGAAUCACUGGGCGUAAAGGGUGCGUAGGCGGGUCUUUAAGUCAGGGGUGAAAUCCUGGAGCUCAACUCCAGAACUGCCUUUGAUACUGAAGAUCUUGAGUUCGGGAGAGGUGAGUGGAACUGCGAGUGUAGAGGUGAAAUUCGUAGAUAUUCGCAAGAACACCAGUGGCGAAGGCGGCCACACGUGCCGAUACUGACGCUGAGGACGAAG